CACAGCUCGUUGUACUAGUGUUGUGGGAAUUGCAUCACUAGUUACUUUUGUCGGACGAUUGUAUUUCUUCAGCUCUUUUGGCACACGCUUUGCAAUAUUUCGAACUCGGUGAUAAAUGUAGCCGGAAUGAUCGCCACUAUUAUUGCCGCUCUGCCACCAGAAAAAUGCGGACUGUAAUAUAAAUAUGGAUUGAUGAAAACAAUCAAGUUGAACAUAUUGAAUACAUUACCUCGUCCGGGGUGUGGUACCUUGUGGUAUGCACAUAAUAAAUUAUUGUAUUACUCUAUUACGUUUAGCGUGUAUGUUUACAUUGAGUAUCUGUCAUAUGUGGAGAUGUUGUUAUUGUUGUCUAGAGUGUGAAUCAUUGUAUGUUAUAUUAAAGUAUCGGUAAUAAAGUGUAUACAAAUAAUGAAUACAGUUGUUGAAUAAUCAUUACAGAGAAAGAUUCUCACAUUGGCGACGAGAACGGUGAACAGUGCAUGUGAAAUUAGUUUAAUUUCGGUUCGGGAAGUGUUGUCUUUGGAAAAAGAAAGAGAUGAGUGGUGUGUGUGUGUGGUGCAUGCAGAGUGGUGAUGACCUCCAGGUGAUGACUUGUGAUUGAAUUUCAACAUUGGAAUCAAAAAGGUACAACCACAAGUAACGGCCAAGUAAUUUACCAAAAUGCCGAGCAGAGAUGGAUGACCAAAUGGAUGACUGUACUUCUAAUUUUGAUGUGAGACUGAAGCGAGACGUUUAUAAACUGAGGAGACUAUAAGCGAAACAACGUGGAGUGACCUUGCUGCGGAUCUGGAGAAAAAACGAGAUGUGGUACCUUGUGGUAUGCACAUAAUAAAUUAUUGUAUUACUCUAUUACGUUUAGCGUGUAUGUUUACAUUGAGUAUCUGUCAUAUGUGGAGAUGUUGUUAUUGUUGUCUAGAGUGUGAAUCAUUGUAUGUUAUAUUAAAGUAUCGGUAAUAAAGUGUAUACAAAUAAUGAA